rnacentral:hammerhead_ribozyme from 1 species
AUCCAGCUGACGACGUGUCCCGAAUAGGACGAAACGCGCGUCCUGGAU